rnacentral:rRNA from 1 species
ACCUCGGAGAGUUUGAUCCUGGCUCAGGACGAACGCUGGCGGCGUGCCUAAUACAUGCAAGUCGAGCGGACAGAAGGGAGCUUGCUCCCGGAUGUUAGCGGCGGACGGGUGAGUAACACGUGGGUAACCUGCCUGUAAGACUG